rnacentral:rRNA from 1 species
UACGUAUGUGGCGAGCGUUGUCCGGAUUUACUGGGCGUAAAGAGCGCGCAGGCGGUCGUUCAAGUCGCGUGUGAAAGCCCCCGGCUCAACUGGGGAGGGUCACGCGAUACUGAUCGACUCGAAGGCAGGAGAGGGAAGUGGAAUUCCCGGUGUAGUGGUGAAAUGCGUAGAUAUCGGGAGGAACACCAGUGGCGAAGGCGACUUCCUGGCCUGUUCUUGACGCUGAGGCGCGAAAGCUAGGGGAGCAAACGGG